UGGUGGAGUGAUUUGUCUGGUUAAUUCCGUUAACGAACGAGACCAUUGGUGUGUGUUGUUGGGGGUGGUUUGUUGACCGCCUUUGGGUUCACGCACGACUUUUAGUGACCAACUAAAGGAAGCGAAUGGCAAUAACA
rnacentral:rRNA from 1 species